AUCAUGACUCAGGAUGAACGCUGGCGGCGUGCUUAACACAUGCAAGUCGAACGGAGUUUUAACGGAAGUUUCGGAUGGAAGUUAAAACUUAGUGGCGGACGGGUGGAGUAACGCGUGGGUAACCUGCCUCAUACAGGGGGAUAACAGUUAGAAAUGACUGCUAACACCGCAUAAUAUAGCGAAACCGCAUGAUUUUGCUAUCAAAUAUUUAUAGGUAUGAGAUGGGCCCGCGUCUGAUUAGCUAGUUGGUGGGGUAAAAGCCUACCAAGGCGACGAUCAGUAGCCGGCUUGAGAGAGUGACCGGCCACAUUGGGACUGAGACACGGCCCAAACUCCUACGGGAGGCAGCAGUGGGGAAUAUUGGACAAUGGGGGAAACCCUGAUCCAGCGAACCGCCGCGUGAGUGAAGAAGUAUUUCGGUAUGUAAAGCUCUAUCAGCAGGGAAGAUAAUGACAGUACCUGACUAAGAAGCCCCGGCUAACUACGUGCCAGCAGCGGC
rnacentral:rRNA from 1 species